rnacentral:rRNA from 1 species
UACGUAGGGUGCGAGCGUUGUCCGGAAUUAUUGGGCGUAAAGAGCUUGUAGGCGGUCUGUCGCGUCUGCUGUGAAAAUCCGGGGCUCAACCCCGGACUUGCAGUGGGUACGGGCAGACUAGAGUGUGGUAGGGGAGACUGGAAUUCCUGGUGUAGCGGUGAAAGUGCGCAGAUAUCAAGGAAGAACACCCGUGGCGGAAAGCGGCUCUCUGGAACGGUACUGGACGCUGAGACGCGAAAGCCGUGGGGAGCGAACAGG